rnacentral:rRNA from 1 species
UACAGAGGUGUCAAGCGUUGUUCGGAUUCACUGGGCGUAAAGGGUGCGUAGGUGGUAAGGUAAGUCGGAUGUGAAAUCUCCGAGCUCAACUCGGAAAAUACAUUGGAAACUACCUUGCUUGAGGGUUGGAGGGGGGACUGGAAUACUUGGUGUAGCAGUGAAAUGCGUAGAUAUCAAGUGGGACACCAGUGGCGAAGGCGAGUCCCUGGACAACUCCUGACACUGAGGCACGAAAGCUAGGGGAGCAAACAGG